GGUGGUCUAAUACUCAACAUUUGUCAGUGCCCACUGGAGGCCAUUCUGAGACUCCCUGCAGGUGAGGAUCACACAGCUUUUCAUUGUAAUGAUGUGAAUUAUUGCUGAACUGAUGACCUCAAACUCCUGCAAACAACUUGGAUAUCAGUGACCCCAUGAGAAUCUGUAAUAUCACUGGACAUGAAAAGAAGCCUGGUCCCUUCUACAACCAUGACAUAUAUUUGUAUUUAUGGUCCUCUGGAGAAUCUUGCCUUUUUCCACCAAUUUUUAUUUUACUCUAUCUAUAGUAUUGUAAUUUCAGAAGAAGAAAAUAAACUACAUCCCAUUCAUUGC
rnacentral:lncRNA from 1 species